ACAUCUUUUGCAAUGCAGUGUUUACAAAUAUAUCGAGUUUAUAUUUUCUCCGGUUUUAAACAACGCAAGCCAGAACAUUUUUGACCGAAUUUGAAUACCUGACAGGCUUUUCGUCAAUGGAAACAUAAAUUUUUUUAAAUAACUGCAAUUUUAAGUAACUUGCGGAUGUUUGGGUGCGUAUGUAAAAAACUCUAACUACAGGGAAUAUAAAUCGCUUCAAAUACGCUUUCAGUCAAAGGAAUUUUUUAACCUUUGGAUCGUCCAUAAAUUA